GGCGGACGGGUGAGUAAUGCUUAGGAAUCUGCCUAUUAGUGGGGGACAACAUCUCGAAAGGGAUGCUAAUACCGCAUACGUCCUACGGGAGAAAGCAGGGGAUCUUCGGACCUUGCGCUAAUAGAUGAGCCUAAGUCGGAUUAGCUAGUUGGUGGGGUAAAGGCCUACCAAGGCGACGAUCUGUAGCGGGUCUGAGAGGAUGAUCCGCCACACUGGGACUGAGACACGGCCCAGACUCCUACGGGAGGCAGCAGUGGGGAAUAUUGGACAAUGGGGGGAACCCUGAUCCAGCCAUGCCGCGUGUGUGAAGAAGGCCUUAUGGUUGUAAAGCACUUUAAGCGAGGAGGAGGCUACUCUAGUUAAUACCUAGGGAUAGUGGACGUUACUCGCAGAAUAAGCACCGGCUAACUCUGUGCCAGCAGCCGCGGUAAUACAGAGGGUGCAAGCGUUAAUCGGAUUUACUGGGCGUAAAGCGCGCGUAGGCGGCUAAUUAAGUCAAAUGUGAAAUCCCCGAGCUUAACUUGGGAAUUGCAUUCGAUACUGGUUAGCUAGAGUGUGGGAGAGGAUGGUAGAAUUCCAGGUGUAGCGGUGAAAUGCGUAGAGAUCUGGAGGAAUACCGAUGGCGAAGGCAGCCAUCUGGCCUAACACUGACGCUGAGGUGCGAAAGCAUGGGGAGCAAACAGGAUUAGAUACCCUGGUAGUCCAUGCCGUAAACGAUGUCUACUAGCCGUUGGGGCCUUUGAGGCUUUAGUGGCGCAGCUAACGC
rnacentral:rRNA from 1 species